AACGAACGCUGGCGGCAUGCCUAACACAUGCAAGUCGAACGAGGCCUUCGGGUCUAGUGGCGCACGGGUGCGUAACGCGUGGGAACCCGCCCUUAGGUUCGGAAUAACUCCCCGAAAGGGGUGCUAAUACCGGAUAAUGUCUUCGGACCAAAGAUUUAUCGCCUUUGGAUGGGCCCGCGUUGGAUUAGCUAGUUGGUAGGGUAAAAGCCUACCAAGGCGACGAUCCAUAGCUGGUCUGAGAGGAUGAUCAGCCACACUGGGACUGAGACACGGCCCAGACUCCUACGGGAGGCAGCAGUGGGGAAUAUUGGACAAUGGGCGAAAGCCUGAUCCAGCAAUGCCGCGUGAGUGAUGAAGGCCUUAGGGUUGUAAAGCUCUUUUACCCGGGAUGAUAAUGACAGUACCGGGAGAAUAAGCCCCGGCUAACUCCGUG
rnacentral:rRNA from 1 species